UACGGAGGAUGCGAGCGUUAUCCGGAUUUAUUGGGUUUAAAGGGUGCGCAGGCGGCACGGCAAGCCGGCGGUCAAAUCGCGGGGCUCAACCCCGCCCAGCCGUCGGAACUGCCGGGCUAGAGUGGGCGAGAAGUGCGCGGAAUGCGUGGUGUAGCGGUGAAAUGCAUAGAUAUCACGCAGAGCUCCGAUUGCGAAGGCAGCGCACCGGCGCCCUACUGACGCUCAGGCAUGAAAGCGUGGGUAUCGAACAGG
rnacentral:rRNA from 1 species